CUUUCCCAGAGACGUCAGAAGGAAAGAGAAGGUUAUCAGAAUCUUAACAGGUCCUCUUUAUUUCAGUCCAAAAUGCAGGAAGCACGUCUACAGGCUUUAUCAUAAUACCAGAGACUGCACCAUCCCUGCAUGUGCCCCUGAUUUACCCCUGCACAUGGAGUUUUAACACAGAAACAGUAUAGGCUACAAAUUCAGGACUCAUCCAGCUGAUUAUCCAACUCAUCCAGCUUUACUCCUGUCCUCAGACUACAAAAGAUGUGCGCGACUUCUGACGCGACUGGCGAGGAGUCCGAGAUGUCAAGAGGGUUAACUUUACCAGCAGGUCGAUGCCAAACCAGAGUGACCCAGAAAAAAAAAAAACAGCAGUCAAAGUGCCUUUGGACAUGAGAAGAGAAUUUAAACCAACACGCAACAUUCCACAUAAUCAGCACAUCACGUCCAGAACACUGCUCUGCCUCUCCGGAGAAUAGAUGUGGGAAAGAAUUGAUAGAGCAGUAAACGGACACAGUAUAAUGGGAUGCACUUGCCCAAGGACGGUCUGCUGGACUCAGCAUGGAGCCAACGUUAAAACACAGGAUGACAGAGAAAGAAGACAGAAAACACAUCUGGCGCAUCGGGUUCUGAACCUGUCUGCCAAAAAAUAAAACCAUUUUCCAUCGUUUCAUCACGAAAAAGGGAUUGCCAUGGUUUCGUGUUUUCUUCUCAUCAGAUAUCGAGACUCGUCACAGUCAGUGCUGAUAUUUCGUGCGACAUGCCUCGAUGGGGUUACAACUCAGAGCCGUGAUUACAAGUUGUGUUAGUUCGGUACGUUCCAGAGAGAGAUUCGCUUUUCUCUGUGCUAGAACUGAAAACCAGUUAACUGCAUGAACGUUUCCUUUCGCUUCCGUUUGCCAGCAAACGGGUCGAUUUUUGCAGCGAAUCCGUGAAAAGCUUUUCGUUUUUGUGCGAGACUGUGAGCGUAUGAAUGUGGAACAUAUUCAGUAUAUUUUGAUAUGUAAAUGUUGCACAAAUGAGACUUUAAAAAAAAAAAAAAUCUGUAUAACAAACAUAUAGGCGUCUGACGUACGAUGGGAUGUGUAUAUUUAAAAGAAAAUAUAUUUAAAUAAAUUAUGAUUGUUUAAA